rnacentral:rRNA from 1 species
GAUGAACGCUAGCGGGAGGCCUAAUACAUGCAAGUCGUACGGUAACAGGGGAGCUUGCUCCUGCUGACGAGUGGCGGACGGGUGAGUAACGCGUACACGAUCUACCCAUAAGUUCGGGAUAGUCACUGGAAACGGUGAAUAAUAUCGGAUGUGAAUAAGAAUCUGCAUGGAUUUUUAUUUAAGGGCUAGACUGCUUAUGGAUGAGUGUGCGUCCUAUUAGUUAGUUGGUAGUGUAACGGACUACCAAGGCGAUGAUAGGUAGGGGGCGUGAGAGCGUGGACCCCCACACGGGUACUGAGACACGGACCCGACUCCUACGGGAGGCAGCAGUAAGGAAUAUUGGGACAAUGGGGCGAGAGUCUGAUCCAGCCAUGCCGCGUGGUGGAUGAAUGCCCUCUGGGUUGUAAACACCUUUUAUAUAGGAAGAAACUACUCGAUUCUUCGAGUCCUGACGGUACUAUAUGAAUAAGCACCGGCUAACUCCGUGCCAGCAGCCGCGGUAAUACGGAGGGUGCAAGCGUUAUCCGGAUUUACUGGGUUUAAAGGGUGCGUAGGCGGAAUCGUAAGUCAGUGGUGAAAGCCCCGAGCUCAACUUGGGAACUGCCAUUGAUACUGCUUUUCUUGAAUACGGUUGAGGUAAGCGGAAUGUUGCAUGUAGCGGUGAAAUGCUUAGAUAUGUUACAGAACACCAAUUGCGAAGGCAGCUUACUAAACCGUGAUUGACGCUGAGGCACGAAAGCGUGGGUAGCGAACAGGAUUAGAUACCCUGGUAGUCCACGCUGUAAACGAUGAGAGCUAGUUGUCGGCACGCAUGCGUGUCGGUGACGCAGCUAACGCAUUAAGCUCUCCGCCUGGGGAGUACGGCCGCAAGGUUAAAACUCAAAGAAAUUGACGGGGGCCCGCACAAGCGGUGGAGCAUGUGGUUUAAUUCGAGGCAACGCGCAGAACCUUACCCACGUUUGACAUGUCUAGUUUGAUCGUCAGAGAUGACUUUCUUCAGUUCGGCUGGCUAGAACACGGGUGCUGCAUGGCUGUCGUCAGCUCGUGUCGUGAGAUGUUGGGUUAAGUCCCGCAACGAGCGCAACCCUUGUCCUUAUUUACCAGCACGUAAUGGUAGGCACUCUAAGGAGACUGCCGGUGACAAACCGGAGGAAGGUGGGGAUGACGUCAAGUCCUCAUGGCCCUUAUGGGUAGGGCUUCACACGUAAUACAAUGGAGUGUACAGAGGGUAGCCAACCCGCGAGGGGGAGCCAAUCUCACAAAGCACUUCGUAGUCCGGAUCGGAGUCUGCAACUCGACUCCGUGAAGUCGGAAUCGCUAGUAAUCGUGAAUCAGCAUGUCACGGUGAAUACGUUCCCGGGUCUUGUACACACCGCCCGUCACACCAUGGGAGUUGGUUUUACCCGAAGGCCGUGCGCUAACUACGGAGGCAGCGGACCACGGUAGGAUCAAUGACUGGGGUG